rnacentral:rRNA from 1 species
UACGUAGGGUGCAAGCGUUGUCCGGAAUUAUUGGGCGUAAAGAGCUCGUAGGCGGUCUGUUGCGUCCGCUGUGAAAACUCGGGGCUUAACCCCGAGCCUGCAGUGGAUACGGGCAGACUAGAGGUAGGUAGGGGAGAAUGGAAUUCCCGGUGUAGCGGUGAACUGCGCAGAUAUCGGGAGGAACACCGGUGGCGAAGGCGGGUCUCUGGGCAACAACUGACGCUGAGGAGCGAAAGCGUGGGGAGCGAACAGG